rnacentral:rRNA from 1 species
CCGGCGCGACGGGGUGAAGUAACACGUACUACCCAACCUCGCCUGACAAACGUAAGGAAAUUAACCUUGACGAAAGUAAGACUAAUGCCUUAUUACUCCUUCAAUGGCAUCAGCAGAGGAGGAAAGAUUUAUCGGUUGCAGAUGGGGAUGCGUCUGAUUAGGUAGUUGGUAGGGUAACGGCCUACCAAGCCAACGAUCAGUAGGGGUUCUGAGAGGAAGGUCCCCCACAUUGGAACUGAGACACGGUCCAAACUCCUACGGGAGGCAGCAGUGAGGAAUAUUGGUCAAUGGACGAGAGUCUGAACCAGCCAAGUAGCGUGUAGGAUGACUGCCCUAUGGGUUGUAAACUACUUUUAUGCGGGAAUAAAGUGAGGCACGUGUGCUUUUUUGCAUGUACCGCAUGAAUAAGGACCGGCUAAUUCCGUGCC